GAUGAAGAACGUAGCGAAAUGCGAUAAGUAAUGUGAAUUGCAGAAUUCAGUGAAUCAUCGAAUCUUUGAACGCAUCUUGCGCUCCCUGGUAUUCCGAGGAGCAUGCCUGUUUGAGUGUCAUCUAAAUCCUCAAACCACAUUGAUUCUUUCGGUGUGGCUUUGGAAGUGGGGGUAGUGUUUGCAGGUUUUAUCUUAAGUCUGCUCCCCUGAAAUGCAUUAGUGGUAUCUGAGCAGAAGGAACUACUACAGGUGUGAUAAUUUAUCUAUGCCUUAGUAUACUGCAUAAAACAGAUUACACUGCUGAUAACAAACUUUAUUUCUUUUUUUUGGAGACCUCAAAUCAGGUAGGACUACCCGCUGAACUUAAGCAUAUCAAUAAGCGGAGGA
rnacentral:misc_RNA from 1 species